rnacentral:rRNA from 1 species
AUCCCCAUCCCACCCGAUGCGCCUCUGAAGUAGUUCCACUCCAGUCAAGUGUCCCCGUGGAGCCUCCGUCUCCGUGCCCUACAGCUGCCGCCGUGCCGUCUCUCGACGCCGACGCCUCAGGCCGAACGCCCCCAACCCCCUCCUCGCGGGCCGCCGCCGCCGCCGUCCCCGUUCCACCUCGCGGCGUCGCUGCCGCCUCCGCCCCGCCCGCCGCUUCGGCCAUUGGCCUCUGAGAUUUCGGUCUUCCAGGAGCGACAGAGGCGAAAUGGAGACGAAUGAGAAGAACGCCGCUGAUUUGGAGGAGAAGAACCAGCCCAGCGGGCACAGCCAGCAGCCGAGCUUCCACGGACCGGGCUUCUCGCUCUCGCCGGAAGCUCAGAUGGAUUCUUCCAGCAGUGCGCUGGCCGCCAUGGGGAAUCCGUUCCCUCCUGGCUUAUGGAACCCACCUGGCCAGAACUUCGGGUUGGGGGAGACCAACACGAACGCUAUGCUGAAUGGACACCAGUUCUCCUCGUUUUUGGGGAUGCUGUCAGCAGCAACGCCCGCAUAUCCCGGCGCCCAGUCGGGGUUCAUGGAUUGCGGAACAGGGUUUCCUGGCUUAAGUGCAAACAGUCUUGGAGCCAUGAUGGAUCACCCUUUUUCCAGGAACCCUCCUAUGGGUAGUUUCCAAAACGAUAUUGAGACGUCUAGGGAGAUGAAUGUGGACGAAGGUUGCAAGGAUGCAUUAUUGACUGGUGAUAGGCAGCAAGGAGAUGCCGAGAGUUCACAUGGUGUUGAUGCCUCUAGCAAGGAGUUAAGCAAGCCGGAGUGCAGUGGAGGUGCUGGUCAGGAUGAAGGGCCUAGUGUCUCUUGUCCCAAGAAGAGGAAAAGACCAAGCCAGGAUCGUGGGGUGAAGAAUGUACAAGAAGGAAGCCAGCAAUUGGCAACUCUGGCUGCAAAGCAGGAGAAAGAUGAUGAUGACAAAGAUGAACCAAAGAGGCCUAUUGGGACAUCCAGAAAGUCCAACGGUAAGCAAACUGAGGAUAAAUCUGAUGCGCCAAAGGAAGAUUACAUUCAUAUAAGAGCUCGAAGUGGCCAGGCUACAAACAGCCAUAGUCUUGCAGAAAGGGUUCGGAGGGAAAAGAUUAGUGAAAGGAUGAAAUUUCUUCAGGACCUUGUUCCUGGUUGUAGUAAAGUCAUUGGCAAAGCCGUUAUGCUGGAUGAGAUAAUCAAUUAUGUUCAAUCAUUACAGCGGCAAGUUGAGUUUUUGUCGAUGAAACUUUCAGCUGUCAAUCCAGCGCUAGACUUCAACAUAGAGCGCAUUCUAUCUAAGGAGUUAUUUCAGUCUCAAGGAACUGCAUCGUCUACCUUUGGCUUCUUACCAGACAUUGGCCAUCAAUUUUUGCAUCCACCAAAACAUUCUCAAGCUGCGUUGCACAGCAUCGUAAAUCCUGCCGAUGCAUUUGGAAGAGUAACAAAUGCUCCGGUAGGAUGUACAUUCAAAGAGGCCACACAUCAGGUGCCCAAUAGUUUUGAUGGAGAGUUCCACAACGUAAUCGGGAUGCCUUUUACCCUUUUUAACGACCAAGAAUCAAAUGGUAAACCAUGAGCAAUAGAUUCCGCAACCGAAGUAAGAGAUCAUAACGGCCAUGAGAUUUCAACAGAACAACAUCACUUGAUGUCCUAUAGAGGCCCUUUCCUCAGUUGUGCCAUCUGCUAUUGGAGGAAGCUGGAGAUCCGACCGUCAGGACGUCCACGUGGAGAUUUCAAGCAUUACAUUCUCCUCUGAAAAUUUACGUGUAUAACUAUUGGUGAUUCAACAAUCUUUGCAUCAUGAUGGUGAGUUCCAUUUUGCCAGAAGGUGGCCGUAUCUGGGUACCAUCUAGUUCAGACCCAGUAAUAUUGUAAAAUGCUCUCUUUCCGCAAGACACUCCGCGGUAUAAUAUAACAGCUUUCAAUUUGUUAGUUGCUAGUAUUGUGACUGAGAGUGAAAGAAGAUUCUUUGUUGUACUUCUAUGGUUGCAUAUGCAACCAUAUAGAACUGUGUACUGGUUUUCGAUUUCUUGAGAAUAAAUGGGGCCUGAGAAAGGGCCUAUUUUCAGCGC